rnacentral:rRNA from 1 species
GAUGAACGCUGGCGGCGUGCUUUACACAUGCAAGUCGAACGAUGAAGCCCAGCUUGCUGGGUGGAUUAGUGGCGAACGGGUGAGUAACACGUGAGUAACCUGCCCUUAACUCUGGGAUAAGCCUGGGAAACUGGGUCUAAUACCGGAUAGGAGCGCCUACCGCAUGGUGGGUGUUGGAAAGAUUUAUCGGUUUUGGAUGGACUCGCGGCCUAUCAGCUUGUUGGUGAGGUAAUGGCUCACCAAGGCGACGACGGGUAGCCGGCCUGAGAGGGUGACCGGCCACACUGGGACUGAGACACGGCCCAGACUCCUACGGGAGGCAGCAGUGGGGAAUAUUGCACAAUGGGCGAAAGCCUGAUGCAGCGACGCCGCGUGAGGGAUGACGGCCUUCGGGUUGUAAACCUCUUUCAGUAGGGAAGAAGCGAAAGUGACGGUACCUGCAGAAGAAGCACCGGCUAACUACGUG